UCUGGUGUCCAGUAGUGUCAGCCUCAAUGCCCUAACUGACUCAUCUGAUCCAACCUUGCUGGUGAUCCUCUGGGCUACUUGAUAUCCCUUCAGAAUUUCAUUUAUGUUUAAGUUAGCCAGAGUUGCUUUCUGUUGUGUCUAACUGGUGAUGUUGACUAGUCACAUAGUACCCAGCAGGUUCUCUCUAAAUGGUGGUUCCCAGACAUUCAAGACUUCCUGUCUCAGGUCCAGGCU
rnacentral:lncRNA from 10 species